rnacentral:lncRNA from 1 species
CUUUGGGGAGGGGGUGGGAGAGACGACAGGUCUGGGAUCAGGGAGUCUUCAAGGCCCCCGCUGAGGGGACAGCGAAUCUACCAUUGAACCGUGCACGGGGGACAUGGACAAAAUGAGACGCGACAGGGACAAGAGCAUUUUGCUCUGCUUCCAGGAAACAUCAAGUAGACUUCGCUUGAAAAGAUCGAGAAUGGAGGAGGGGAUCGGCACUCACUUGCAGACAUCAACAGUUUCCAGAAAAUUCGGUUCAAUUCCUUCACCACGGACCCACCAACCAAGGAGCUGGCAAAACCCACUAACCAACCAGGAGAACACAGACCCGGUUUGUCUUUUGACAACCGAGUGGAACUGACGGGGCCGGCGCCUGCCCUGCGGGUCCCCUCCCUUGGCUGAGAAGAAAACCAAAUAAACCUUGAACAGC